CAAUGACCGCAUCACACAGGCCCUCAUUUCUCAAGGAGAGCCAUGCAGAAGAAGCUGCCCUGUCUCAUUCCUGCUCAACCUCCUCUUCAUCAUCCUCCUUCCCCUGCUCCGGCUCAGCUUCCAGCUCCCUCCCUCCCCCCUGUCCUGCCCCUUGUCCCUAUGUCUUCUCUGUCUCUUCGCCCUGUGCCUGCCUCGGUCAUCAGCUACUCAGACCAACCUUGUCCUCUUCCUGCCUCCUGCCCAGACCGUCUCCCUCCUCUUACCAACUUCCCCCCUUCCCACCUCCCUGCCUGGGUCCCCUCCACCCUCGCCUGUCCUCCUGCUCCUCCGACUACCUGCCCUCCUCCUCUCCCUCUUCCUUCCAUUCGCCGCCCCUUCCGACUUGCUCCCCUCUUCUCCCACACUCCUCCCUUUUCCCCCGCCCCUCCUCCUCUCCCUGCCUCUUCCCCUACCUGCAUGGGCCUUGGGCCCAGAUCGGCCUCCCCGGUUCCUGCUAGGACGUCUGCCCCAACCAGCCCUCAUCAGGCCAGAUAAGCUCCACAUUCUGCCAUGGGGGCGUUGUGAGCCCAUUGCAGAACUCCUGGGAAGGCGGUGCCCAGCAUCCUGGUGACCUGUGCACGUGGAGGACACUGAAUGAUGACCAGCAGGCAUACAACCUGGAGGGGCACCUCCCUCAGAAUCAAGAACCGUCCACAGAAAGCAACACACGAGAUCAUUUUCAAACUGACUUUAAUCAUUUUUUGCUGCUCAAAUACUGUACAUGCAGAAGCCACGUGAAGAAUUUUCUCCUCAAGGGAAUUGGCAAGAACGUUGUACGAAACAGCCGGCAGUCCUUCUCAGCUGUCCACCUGCCACCCAGGAGCCACGAGAAGUUUGGAAAUAUGCUGCACAUAGAAAAUGUAUAGAGCACAGAUAUAAAA